rnacentral:tRNA from 1 species
UCCCUGGUGGUCUAGUGUCUAGGAUUCAGUGCUUUCACUCCUGCGGCUGGGGUUCAAUUCCCUGUUAGGGAA